AGCAGUGUGGCUUAGUGGUUGGAGUGUUGGACUACAAUUCUGGAAACCAUGGUUCAAUCCCCACCUUGGCCA